UGUUCCACGACCAGGACGGAAUCCGCAUUGUUCCUCCUCAACCCGAGGUUCGACUAUCCGGGAAGUGGAGCAGGUACUGCAUACAAUUAAUGUCAUGGUUUGAUGGAUACAAGGACUCAUUUAAGAGACCAAAAAACACCAGUGAACAGCUUUCUUUCCAGGGCAGCUCUUGUCACAAAAUAUAUGACAAAAGCAGGACGAGUCAACAUGCUAACCCAACAGGCCAUGGGUUGGAACUGACGAAAGAGGGAUAACCUUCAUCAAGCGUUAGCCCACAGAUACCUCAAAAUCACAGAUAGGGCAAAAGUGGAAGCUGUCAGCCUCAGGAGCAUCAAGGAGCAACAACCUGGAUCAGGAGACCACACAGCAGUGGGUGUGUGAUGUCAGACAGAAUCUACACUCCAGGGUGCACUGAAGACCUCAGGGCUGAAAUUGAAAACUUAACAGUAACCCUUUUGCGCAAGAAGCAAGACCUGUAUCGUCAGCAUGAUAGCAACCAGACAAGACAGAGAAAAAGAAAGACAAUGGCACAGCUGAAGAUAAAGCUUUGUGAUCUGGUCUUGCAGUACAACACCACCGUGGAAGGAGAUCAGAUUGACGAGGAGUUGGCGUGCAGUCUGACAGAUGGCUACAUCCUGCCAUGGGAGACGCAUGAAGAUGAGGUUGGUCUUUGACCAGGUAAUGCUGCUGAAACGCAUGGAGGAGGAGCAGAGCGUCUUGGUGAAAGAGAUGUCCCAACAUGUUAUGUACCUUCUAAAGGAAAUACAACAAGUGGAGGCACUCAAGGGAAAGACUUUGGAGAGCAUCAAAACAAACUAUUUUGGUGACCUGACAGAGGACGCUACACAUGGGCUCAACAGUGUUCUCAGUCGGAGGUGGCACUACCUAAAAAGCCAAAGUAGCCAGUAGUAUAGCCUUGAAGGAACUUGUUUUCUUCCAUAUACAGGAGGACAUUGAAGAUUGGGAGGACAACGGCUUCACUAGCCCCGAGUCAGAAGAAGAAGAAACGUAAAGUCCACUGCCUUUGCUCCUGUCCUUUCCAACUCUGCAUAAUCACUAUGUAUUGUGUUUUUUGUGUAUGCCCCUGUAAAGCACUGUGACUGUGAAAAAUGAUGAAAAAUACAUCUUAUUUAAUUAGUUACUUUACUGUAAAAUCAAUCAAAAUACCUUUAGUGU